CCCGGGAACCUGCAGCCACAGAGCCAGGUCAAAGGAUCCCUGGCCAUGUCCACUGACUAGCGGAGACUUGAGCGGAGAGCCGGCCAUUACUCAGGGUUGGAGCUGAAUGGUCAUGAGUUUUCUCAGUACUGGGUUCAAAGCACUCUGCAAGGGACUGGUUAAGGAAUCAGCCUGGUGUCUUUUCUGGAG